rnacentral:rRNA from 1 species
UAGCCGUAAACGAUACUCGCUAGGUGUCGGCCACGGUGCGACCGUUGUCGGUGCCGUAGGGAAGCCGUGAAGCGAGCCACCUGGGAAGUACGGCCGCAAGGCUGAAACUUAAAGGAAUUGGCGGGGGAGCACAACAACGGGUGGAGCUUGCGGUUUAAUUUGGAUUCAACGCCGGAAAUCUUACCGGGACCGACAGCAACAUGAAGGCCAAGCUGAAGACUUUGCCGGAUUAGCUGAGAGGAGGUGCAUGGCGUCAGUGACU